CCUUAAGCCCCGCCUCCACUGCUAUUUGUGGUAUAUAACUGGUUACCUUUUGUGAACACUUCCGGAAAGAGCGACGCCCUUAGAAAACAAACAACUCCUAAUAAUCAGCUUUUAAAGAGCCGUCAGUAAGCAGCUGAUAUGGUUUGACUCAUUAUAAAAGCGAGCAUCUACGUGGUCAGGAAGAUCCGGGCGGCCCUUGCAGAUGGACCCCAACUGGAAAAGCCGAUUGUAACGCCAUGUUGUGCUAACGCUGAAAGGAAGGCAGAGGGAGCCCUGAAAGGUCCACCACCGGCCACCUUAAUGACUUCUGAAGUUGAAGACGUCGGGGCAGCAAGCUCCAGGAUAUCUUCAGCUGUGCAGAAGCAUGGCUCCUGAUGUUAAAAGGAUAACAUGGUUAUUAAAUGAUAUAAAAAAUAUCAACUGACUAUCCAAAAAAAUGACAACAUGGUUAUAAAUCAGGCUUAAUUUUGUACAACCAUGAAAGAUAUGUCAUUAUGUUGUUUAAUAUUGUUUAAUGACCAUGUUGUGGGCUGGGUAACUAACGUAAUAGCCUUCAUUGUACGCUGUAGUGUUUGAAGACUGACUCACCAACUUCUCCCACAGAGGCUGAGCAUGUCUGAUGUUUUUUUGCAGUUAUAUAAAUGAAGUAUAAAUACACAUGUUGCUCGCAGCAACACUUGCAAAA